UGUUAAGCAACAUCCAGUAUUAAUUAUUUAAUCAUUUUUUUAAUUCUUUUUCAUCAGGUAAGAAGAGAAUAGCAUGCUUACUGAGAGGAUGGCUUUUCACUUAGCACCGUUGUGCUCAGGACUGAGCUCCAAAAGCAAGCACAAGGAAGAGAACAUAAGCCAGCAGUGGCAGACUUCUUCACUGUCCUGAUUUACAGCCAUGGCUCUGAGUUGGUAUCGAUAAAUCACUUUGGUCCUCUUCAAUCCAGCCCUAUC
rnacentral:lncRNA from 1 species